CACUGAACGUAAUAUAUCUUGAAGCAAAAUGAAAUUCGUGUCGCUCCUUCUCGCUGUGGCGGUGGCUCUGUCAGCCCUGCUGGGGGCAGCACGAGCCAUGCCUGAGCCAGAAGCCCUGGCCGAUGCUGAGGCCUCGGCCUACGCAGGCUACGGAGGGCCACUACGGAGGCCACUACGGGGGCUAUCGUAGAGGAGGCCACUACGGAGGCUACAGGCGAGGGUAUGGGAGGAGGUAAGGCUCCGAAAGUAACCGUCAACCUACCGAGACCGACCGACCGCUACUUCUUCACCAAUGUGCUCAUGGAGACGCCAAGGAAAGCCAACGUUGUAAUGUUACAAAUUAAAAGAUUGAUUUCCCGUUA
rnacentral:lncRNA from 1 species